rnacentral:rRNA from 1 species
GGGUAACGAGUAAAGCAGCGAACGGGUGAGUAACGCGUAAGUUAUCUACCUUUAAAUCUGGGAUAACUACUCGAAAGGGUGGCUAAUACUGGAUAUACUCUUUUUAGAGGAAAGAUGGAUUACUAUCGUUUAAAGAUGAGCUUGCGUCCCAUUAGCUAGUUGGUAAGAUAACAGCUUACCAAGGCAACGAUGGGUAGCCGGCCUGAGAGGGCGAUCGGCCACACUGGGACUGAGACACGGCCCAGACUCCUACGGGAGGCUGCAGUGGGGAAUCUUCCGCAAUGGGCGAAAGCCUGACGGAGCAAUGCCGCGUGAGUGAUGAAGGCCUUAGGGUCGUAAAGCUCUGUCUUGAGGGAAGAACAACUUAGUAGUGAACAACUGCUAGGUAUGACGGUACCUCAAAAGAAAGCCCCGGCUAAUUACGUGCCAGCAGCCGCGGUAACACGUAAGGGGCAAGCGUUGUCCGGAAUUACUGGGCGUAAAGGGUGCGCAGGCGGUCUAGCAAGUCAGAGGUGAAAGCCACUAGCUCAACUAGUGAAAGUCCUUUGAAACUGUUAGACUUGAGAGUAGAAGAGGGAGAUGGAAUUCCUAGUGUAGUGGUGAAAUACGUAGAUAUUAGGAAGAAUACCAAUGGUGAAAACAGUCUCCUGGUCUGACUCUGACGCUGAGGCACGAAAGCUAGGGUAUCAAACGGGAUUAGAUACCCCGGUAGUCCUAGCUGUAAACGCUGGAUACUAGGUGUUGGGGGUUC